GACGAACGCUGGCGGCGUGCCUAAUACAUGCAAGUCGAGCGGAUCUUCAUUAGCUUGCUUUUGAAGAUCAGCGGCGGACGGGUGAGUAACACGUGGGCAACCUGCCUGUAAGACUGGGAUAACUUCGGGAAACCGGAGCUAAUACCGGAUAAUCCUUUCCCUCACAUGAGGGAAAGCUGAAAGACGGUUUCGGCUGUCACUUACAGAUGGGCACGCGGCGCAUUAGCUAGUUGGUGAGGUAAUGGCUCACCAAGGCGACGAUGCGUAGCCGACCUGAGAGGGUGAUCGGCCACACUGGGACUGAGACACGGCCCAGACUCCUACGGGAGGCAGCAGUAGGGAAUCUUCCGCAAUGGACGAAAGUCUGACGGAGCAACGCCGCGUGAACGAUGAAGGCCUUCGGGUCGUAAAGUUCUGUUGUCAGGGAAGAACAAGUACCGGAGUAACUGCCGGUGCCUUGACGGUACCUGACCAGAAAGCCACGGCUAACUACGUGCCAGCAGCCGCCGUAAUAC
rnacentral:rRNA from 1 species